UACGUAGGGCGCAAGCGUUAUCCGGAAUUAUUGGGCGUAAAGAGCUCGUAGGCGGUUUGUCGCGUCUGCCGUGAAAGUCCGGGGCUCAACUCCGGAUCUGCGGUGGGUACGGGCAGACUAGAGUGAUGUAGGGGAGACUGGAAUUCCUGGUGUAGCGGUGAAAUGCGCAGAUAUCAGGAGGAACACCUGAGGUGAAGACGGGUUGCUGGGCCGACACUGACGCUGAGUGCGCGGAAGCCAGGGGAGCAAACGGG
rnacentral:rRNA from 1 species